CCUACGGGGGGCUGCAGUGAGGAAUAUUGGUCAAUGGACGAGAGUCUGAACCAGCCAAGUAGCGUGAAGGAUGACUGCCCUAUGGGUUGUAAACUUCUUUUAUAUGGGAAUAAAACGUUCCACGUGUGGGAUUUUGUAUGUACCAUAUGAAUAAGGAUCGGCUAACUCCGUGCCAGCAGCCGCGGUAAUACGGAGGAUCCGAGCGUUAUCCGGAUUUAUUGGGUUUAAAGGGAGCGUAGGUGGUUUGUUAAGUCAGUUGUGAAAGUUUGCGGCUCAACCGUAAAAUUGCAGUUGAAACUGGCAGUCUUGAGUACAGUAGAGGUGGGCGGAAUUCGUGGUGUAGCGGUGAAAUGCUUAGAUAUCACGAAGAACUCCGAUUGCGAAGGCAGUUCACUGGACUGCAACUGACACUGAGGCUCGAAAGUGUGGGUAUCAAACAGGAUUAGAUACCCUUGUAGUC
rnacentral:rRNA from 1 species